CAGAACGAGAGAAACAGCGGAGUCUAAGAGACGGGGAGGAGGAAAGACUGGGGUGGGGACGACAGAGAGAAUAGCAGCCCGGGCCAGAUUUCAACUGUCCUGAUGCAAAUGUUAGCAAUUCUACGGUGGCCGGGGGCUCGCUGCUCCCCCAAAGUAAAGCAGCAAUUAGAAAAGGGGAAGAGGCCGUUUUAGAAGAUGAAAACUAAAGCAAGGAGGCCAAGAUUUGAGAGAAACCUGGCAGCGUCCCCAAGCCUGGCACGGGAUCGCCUCAGACGCACUCGGCUGCUCCGGAGGCGGAGCGCGAAGCAUCGGACCCGGCGGGCGGAGCCAAGCCAGCGGGGCGCAGCGCAACGCCUUCCGCCAGGGCGUCUGCCGCCACCUACCGGCGACCAGGCAAGCGUCAGUGCGACCCCAAAGCAAGCUGCUGUGAGCUGGCUGGACCUGGUCCCAGCCACUAGCAACAGCAUUUCCAACAAAGGCCACCCGUCUUAGCCUACCCAGCUCAGAAACUCCUGUCUAAGUGCUCUGCCCUAGGAGUUGAUCUAACUGCUUUAUGUAAACCCAACCUGAGGACGAAGGCAGUCUGUGAUCCCAGUAUACGCUCAGCGAAGAGUGUGUGCUCCCACAACAGUAGCGUGAAUGAACAUAUGAAUGAAUGAACCAACCUAUUUAAAAAAAACAACAACAACAACAACUUUCAGAUAUAUUUAUGUUUGUCAGACAUUUUGUUGGUGGCUAGUAAAGUCUACAAUAACUGUGUGUAUCCCCUCUCCAAUGUGUGCAGCAGUAAUGUACAACUGCCAAAUUCAUCCCAUAGCCUCCCUUUACAGUUGCGUAAAGACGGGUUCCUGAACGUUAAGUGCUUUUUCCUAUGUCAGUUUGCUGGUCAUAGACCUAGUUCAGACCUACAUUUUAUUGACGUGUUUGGUAUUUAUUUUGUAAGGAAAGAGAAUCAUUUCAUCUUUCUGUAAGCUAGCCUGCCCUGACACAUAUUCUUAGCCGACUGGCUAAAGGAGGUAGCUGGCUCCACCAACUACCUAUGGUUGAUCCCUGAGCUUCUGUCCCAGAUUUCUUCUCUCAGCCAAAGCAGCUGCUCAUACACUUUCGUUCCAAAAAUCAAGUGUUGCUCCAAGCUAAUGCCAACUGGUCUAAAGGAAACUUUCCGCCGAGCGGCAGUUGCUGUGACCGCCUGGGCAUCAAAUGGCAAUUAAUUGGAACAGACUUGAUAAAUGAACUGUGGAAGGGAGCGCUGUGUUCAUGACUAGGUGCCUCCAUGGUCAUGCAUAGCAGACCAGGCGCUUUCCCACCCACCUGCUUAUGCUGCCACAGUGAACACAAAUUUACAUACCUGGAAGAAACAAGACUUUCUGAAGCAUUUGCAAAAAAUGCAGGAAAUCUGUCUGUCGUGGCUAAAACACCCCCACUGCUCCGUUUGGCAUCGUUCUCGUUCAUAUUCGAAGCAUUGACAGUGUUUCCCCUGACUAGCUGUAGCAAUUAUCACACUGGUGGCAACUGAAAUGGCUUUUCUAAUUCUAGAACCCGGGUUCCAUGAAAUAGCAAAGAAGAACCCCCCUUAAGGUAUAGGAAUGUUUAGCGUUUUUAGAAUAAAACAAAACGGAAACUAUAGCAACUAGGUGUUCUCAUAAGAGGGUCAUGUUCAGAUCAGAAAGACAAUAGUUUUUUUUUUUUUAAUCAGUAUGGGUCUUUGCUAGUGUGGAUAUCAUAUGCACCACUUGCAUGUAGUGCCUUUGUAGGCCAGAAGAGGGCAUCAGAUCUCCUGUAACUGGAGUUA